rnacentral:rRNA from 1 species
UACGUAGGGCGCAAGCGUUGUCCGGAAUUAUUGGGCGUAAAGAGCUCGUAGGCGGCUUGUCGCGUCGACCGUGAAAACUUGGGGCUCAACCCCAAGCCUGCGGUCGAUACGGGCAGGCUCGAGUUCGGUAGGGGAGACUGGAAUUCCUGGUGUAGCGGUGAAAUGCGCAGAUAUCAGGAGGAACACCGAUGGCGAAGGCAGGUCUCUGGGCCACUACUGACGCUGAGAAGCGAAAGCAUGGGGAGCGAACAGG